UUUUNNNGUACUACCGAUUGAAUGGCUCAGUGAGGCCUCCGGAUUUGUCUAAGCCGAGGGCGACCUUGGCGGUGACGGAGAAGCUGGUCAAACUUGGUCAUUUAGAGGAAGUAAAAGUCGUAACAAGGUUUCCGUAGGUGAACCUGCGGAAGGAUCAUUAAAAAAAAUUAUACACACUGUUUUUGCGAACAAAAAAAUAAAUCUUUUAUUCGAAUUUCUUAAUAUCAAAACUUUCAACAACGGAUCUCUUGGUUCUCGCAUCGAUGAAGAACGCAGCGAAUUGCGAUACGUAGUAUGACUUGCAGACGUGAAUCAUCGAAUCUUUGAACGCACAUUGCGCCUCGAGGCAUUCCUCGAGGCAUGCCUGUUUGAGCGUCGCAUCCCCUCUCACCCCCGGUUAGGCGUUGCUCCGACAUAUCAACCGCGCUGUCACACACGUUUACAGCAGACAUUCGCCUCCNAUU
rnacentral:misc_RNA from 1 species